CGGUAGCAGAGGUGCUGCGAUACG
rnacentral:miRNA from 1 species